UUGAUCCUGCCGGACCCGACUGCUAUCAGAGUGGGACUAAGCCAUGCGAGUCAACGCAGCAAUGCGUGGCAUACGGCUCAGUAACACGUAGUCAGCAUGCCCAGGGGACGUGGAUAACCUCGGGAAACUGAGGAUAAACCGCGAUAGGCCAAGGUUUCUGGAAUGGACACUGGCUGAAACCUAUAUGGCCCCUGGAUUGGACUGCGGCCGAUCAGGCUGUUGGUGAGGUAAUGGCCCACCAAACCUGUAACCGGUACGGGCUUUGAGAGAAGGAGCCCGGAGAUGGACACUGAGACAAGGGCCCAGGCCCUAUGGGGCGCAGCAGGCGCGAAAAUUCUGCAAUAGGCGAAAGCUUGACAGAGUUACUCUGAGUGAUGCCCGCUAAGGGCAUCUUUUGGCACCUCUAAAAAUGGUGCAGAAUAAGGGGUGGGCAAGUCUGGUGUCAGCCGCCGCGGUAAUACCAGCACCCCGAGUGGUCGGGACGAUUAUUGGGCCUAAAGCAUCCGUAGCUUGUUCUGCAAGUCUUCCGUUAAAUCCACCUGCUCAACAGAUGGGCUGCGGGAGAUACUACAGGGCUAGGAGGCGGGAGAGGCAAGCGGUACUCAGUGGGUAGGGGUAAAAUCCUCUGAUCCACUGAAGACCACCAGUGGCGAAGGCGGCUUGCCAGAACGCGCUCGACGGUGAGGGAUGAAAGCUGGGGGAGCAAACCGGAUUAGAUACC
rnacentral:rRNA from 1 species